ACCGCUUUCAUCUGGGCCGUCGGGCAUUCCUAUAUAAAGGGGCCACUGUCAGUCAGGUACUCAUCCCUCAUUUCGUCCUUUCUAAUGGGAGAGCUUUGUCAGAGAGCCGCUCUCGAGUAAAAAAUGUUCCUUGUCAUUUUUAAGAGCCCCCCAAAUGGUUUUGAUGGGUGAGGUUUUUGCAGGGGGUGGUUGGUUGGAGAUUCCGACAGACGGCUCCCUAUCAGACCUGG
rnacentral:lncRNA from 1 species